AUACAUUUUCAUGUUUAAGACGGUAUAAAACACACAAAUAAGAUAUAUAUAAACUUAAUAUAGUGUAAUUUUCAUCAAAAUUAUGAAUAUAAAUGAUAUUUAUAAAAUUUAGAUCAAAUAAAUAAAUAAAAAUAUUAUUAAAAAUAAAUUAAAAAUAAUAAAAAAAGAUUAGGUGGCUAUACGGUCAUUUAGACGGUCUAGCGGAAAACAUCGGAUAUCCAAUUUUUAAACCGAUUUGACAUAAAUCGGGAUGGAAGAAUGACAUGUAGUGCACAUGCGGCUAGACGGCCGAUUUUUAGAACAAAGGUUAAAACUAAUACGACCGAACAAAUAAAAUAUGAACUUAUUUUACUCAUUUUAAGUUAUGGAUGAUGUUUUGAAAUUGCACGUCGAUCGCCGAAUCUAGACAGUUUACACCCAAACUUAUCACUAUUCUAGAAGAGCUAUUAUAUGUCAACUCAUCAUAUGAAAUUUUUUACAGUUAACGUUCAAUUUUGUACCCUUUUUAUUGUUAGAACACAAUAAACCCCAUCAAAGUCUUUCUCUCUCCCUUAUCCUCUCUGCGUACGACCUCAAAGCCCUGGUUCUGCUCCGACGUUACCGGCGCGUCCGCACGCGUCAGGCCGUCGGGGGCUCAGCUCUUUUUUUAUAUGUCUUCGUCUUUGCUUCACGAUCAAAACCCCUCUCCUAUCGCUUUGUUCCCGGUCUCUGGUCAGGCGAGUCUCUGUUUUCAAUGAGCCGCGCGCGAGGAAUUCGGCGAAGGUGGAGAUCCGGCUUGCUCUGGAGUCGAGGCGCGGUGUGUUGCAGGGGUUAUGGUUGGCGGAGUCGGCUUUUUACGGCUGAGAGAGAGGUCGCAUUUCCCUUUUUAGAUCUUCUCUCGAGGCCUCCAUGUUCGUGGUGGUGAGUUGGCUCGCCGUUACGGUGAGGUAGUGGCUUCGUUGCUGCUUUUGUCCGGUGUGGUGUGUGUUUUCUUCGAGAGGAACCGGGAACCCUUACGGCGUCGUCGGGUUCGUCUCCAUCUGCGGUGAAACAAAGGCAACUGGAGGCGAGUCGAGGUUGGGUACGCUGGUGUUAGUUGUACUCGGUCUCCACAGUCGUCUAUGGCUGUCUAUGGCUCGUGUUGGAGUGCCGAGUUGAGUCCUACACAGUCGUCUAUGGCUGUUUCAAGCUCUCCUCAGCGUUCCACUUGUCUUUCCGGCUUCAUCAACUCGUCAUCAGUUCGAGCACUUCAUUAGUUUAGCGGCCGCUUCUCUAUUGGAGUCGAGCUCUCGUGCUUUAUCUGUUGGUUCACUAUUGACACAGGUGGAUUAUGUUGCGAGUCACAUUCUCCGUUUCUUCGGUUCUCAAAGGCGGCAAGAGGCGUCACAGAUUGGUCUUCGGUGGCGGUGUCUCUCUUGUGUUCCACUACCAUCCCAGUACCGGCAAAGGGUCACUUGACCCGUCACUGGUAGUGUAGCUGGCUGUUUUGUGUGCUGGUCGUUAGAGCUCUCUUGGAUUGGUGUGUGGCUUGGAGGUCAGGCCUUUUUAAUGUUCUACGGCGACAGUAGCGAGUUUCUGUUCGGUCGGGAGGCAGUUUCAAGUGCUGUGUGGUGCUGUGUACAAGUCGGCUUUGGUGGCAUUAGCAAAGCUCUGGUAUGUACCCGAAACUCUCCUCUAUUUGUCGUUUGGAGCUUCAUGUUUAGAGAUGGUUGCAAGUAUGGUGGAGUUCUUUGGGAGCUAGCUACUCCGGAAACGACACGAGAAGUCCCGGCAUCCGAGGCAACGAGGAGAACCUCACCUUCUUGUGAUUAUCGUUAAGGGUUGAGAACAGUAACCAAUUCUGAAGAAUUACAAAAAACGGAUUAGCGGAACGUGCCGGGUUUAGUGGGUGGGCGAAGCUAAUUUCUGUAAUAGUUUGACUUCGAAAAUUUUGUACAAAACUUGCUUGUAACCGGAUCUGAAAUUCCCGUUAUACGGGUUGAUUUUAAUAUAUAUAUAUUAAUUAAAAGAAAAUAAUAAUUUGAGAGUUGAAGCCAGACAUGUCAAUUAGGGUCAAAAUCCGCAGUCCGAUCCCGUCUAGCCCUAAAAAAUAUCGAGCUUGAGCUUAAUUUUAUAAGCCUAAUAAAAAUUGGACCUUUCGAGCUAAGCCUUUGGGCUUUGGGUAUAUCGGGCCUAAGCCCGUUUGGGCUGCUAAGGCCGGCCCGAAAACCCCAAAAUUUUUAAUUUAGCGUAAAUAUUAUUGUUCUUGCAACCAAAACCAUUAUUAUUAUUUACAUAUUUUUAUCCAAACUCUAAUAAAGCAAAUAUAAAAGUUGUUAAUACACUUUAUUGUUUGAUCAUUACAAGUGUCACAUUUUAAAUUUUGCAAAUGUACUUUCUUCUUUCAUGUACAACAUGUUAUUUUUUUUAAUUUCAAAAUACAAAGUAUAUGAAAUGUUUGACCAUGUUUAUCAUAAAUUUUAUUCUCUUAUAUGUUUAGUUUUAAUUUAUAUUUGAUUAUUUAAAUCUUAUUAAAUUUGGUUUGUUUAUAAUAUGUUUUUAAAGCAUACGAAAAAAAAAAAUAUUUUUUGAUAAAAAAGAAACUGUUUUUUUUUUAUAUGACAAGUAUUAAAACGAUAGAUAUGACAAUGAUAUAUUAAAUGUUUUGUGAUAUGACAAAUAUAAAAAAGAAACUGUUUCUUGAUAAAAUAUAUUAAAUAUUUUUUGAUAAAAAAUGAAACUGUUUUUUAUAAAAAUUCACAUGUAUUAAAAUGAUAGAUAUGACAAUGAUAAAUUAUGUUUUGAAAAUCCAAAAAAACCCGAAAAACAUGUAGCCCUACAAAGACCGGACCGGACUCUGUAUUCUAGGCCUAAAAUAUUUUCGAACCAGGUUCAAAUAUUUACGAGCUUAUCGGAUUUGGGUCGGACCAGGCCAGCCCGAAUUGACGCUCCUAAUUGAAGCCUUGGUCAUACAUUAACGGAAUAUAUAUAUAUCAAAAUAUGUAAGGAAAGUUUCGCAGAGAGAUGACAUCUAAUCGCACCAUAAUUUGAUAUUUUAUGUUUUGCAUGUGUAGAACCAAAUCUAUAUAUAUAUAUAUAUAUAUUAUACAUAUAUAUAUAUAAAUUUGUCUUUUUCUCUUCUUCUGCCAAGUGGCAGGGGGGAUUUUACGACACAUGUCAUCUAUGUAUUUGUUUUUACAUUUUAGGUUUUUUUUUUAGAUUAUUGUCAUUUGUCCAAUUACUUUCUAAUCAUGAACUAUUUAAUCAUUUUCGCACUAACUAUUAUCGUAUGAAAUUUGAUAAUCUAUUUUAUUGUUCACUAAAAUUCAAGAUGAAUAAAAAAAUAAAUAAAAUAAUAUAAAUAUAUUUUACAUAUUUAAUUUAUUCACAACUAAAAAUAACAUAAUUUUUGUUAUUUUAUUAGUUUUUUACCAUUUUCUAUUAUUUAAUUUACAAAUUAUAUAUAUAUAUAUAUAUAUAUAUAUAUAUAUAUUAACUAUUAAAAGUAUAAAAUGACCAAAUUAAUAAGAAAUUAAAGUGCAAUACAUAAUUUAAACAUAAAACAUCCACAGUCAGAAAGAAAAAGCAAAUUAUCAUAGUAACACUAACUCAAUAAAGAUUUGGAGCUGAAAAAAAGAUCAAUAAAGAAAACUAACAUAUCUCAUCUUAUUAUAGAAUGUCUUGGAUAGAACAAGUAGAUGUCAGAAAAUGCAAAAAACAAAAUAUGAGACAAAGCAAUCCCCGAAACACAAAGGAUCUCGAUCAAGCACCAGCGCAAAAAACAAAAAAAAAACCAGUCAGAGAAAGAAUAAUCAUCUGAAGAACAAAGUCACCACGAAACAAAAAGACGCAUGUCUAAAGCACCAGAAGCACAACCACCAGCUAAGAGAUAAGAAGCACCUCACAAAUUAAACAAGCAUAUAUAAGACAAUUAUGCAGCGAAGAACCACAAAACUCUGAAUAGAAAAAACCAAAGCUCCAACAGACUAACUCCGCACACCUACACUAAAGGAUGCAUGAUAAGAAGAUACCCAACCUGAGUGGAAGAGAAUGGAAGCCAACCACCGAGAAACCAAAGCUUACCACUAACAAGUGGUAUUAUACAUACAACAACACAUUAUUAAAAAACAAACACAUUAUAUAUUAUUUACUAAGUAUCUACUAAUACAUAACAUAAUAAAACAUCAAAUAUGAUCUUUACAAAUAAAUACUGACCACAUAAUUACAUCAUCAGAAAAUCAUAUUUAAUAUUUAAAAAUAAUAAAAUAAUAUUCUGCGCGGAGCGCGAACAACCCUCUAGUAACUAAGGUAAAUAAGGUGUUGUAGCUCAUAUAACAAAUUAAUAUAUAUUAUAAACUUACACUUUUUCUUUUUGAAUACUAGGAGGUUCGAAACCCAUAAUUCCUCGGACCUGAAACUACAUUUAAUAUCUGUUUUAUCUCAGCAGUCACUUAAACCGGAGACUUCUGAUACAAUAACCAUGGUUCUUUCCAAUUAAGCUAACGAUCUCUAGUGAACUUGCACUUUCAGGUAACCUUAACGAACUAUAAAAUAAGAGACAAAACAUCAGAAACAGUCAAGGAACAUAUCAUCUCUUCAUCACAAGCAACCCAAAUCUCUUACAUAUAUAUAUAUAUAUAUAUAUAUAUAUAUCAUCUCACAAACCCGAUUGAGAAGAGGAAGAAGAAUCCCCGAACCGCCAAAAUCUGGCAUAAUCUUGCUCUUCUUGUGGCCUAGAAGAGCCACCAGAAGACGAAGAAGUUGUUGCGGCAGUAGUACUAGUUGUUAAACUAAAGCUUAGCAUAUCAGUAUUAUUCCCAUCUUGAUAAUAUUGGUUAUAGUAUGGUAUAUUUUUUGGCUCGAUUUGAUUGGAGGAGUAAUAAUUAGAGUUUGAUAACUGAUCAUUAUAGGCAACGUUAACCCUCUCCGGGAAAUUGAGUUUGGCUUUGCUUCCUUUGAACUUAAGAGCAGCUUCAUCAUAAGCUAAGGCUGCGGAUUCAGCGGUUUCAAAUGUCCCAAGCCACACACGUGCAGCUUUUUGUGGAUCCCGUAUUUCAGC
rnacentral:lncRNA from 1 species